UAUUGGAGUUGUGAUAUGGAGUCCGUUUUCCAUUAUUUUAUAUUAAAUGCUUCAACGGUAGCAAAGUAACUUGAAACUUAACGCCGUCAUCCCACUUUACUGAAAUUGGAGAGAGAGAAAGCAUCAAUCUUGGACAGGGAAAACUUAAAUUGGAGAGAGAAAGCAUAAAUUGGGAGAGAGAGAAUCCUCCACCUGAACCUAGCGAAACUAUCGUCGGUGAAGAUGGUGGUGCUUUGUAAUCCGCCAACCUUUGUCAACAAUUUGUAAUCAGAAGUCCUCUCACUCGAGUUUGUGUACAGUAAAGGGGCGAUUUGAAGCUGUGCUGGAAUGGGCGAUUUGAAGCUGUGCUGGAAUGGGCGAUUUGUGUACAGUAAAGGGGCGAUUUGAAGCAAGGUUGACAUUUGAGUGUGUGUGCUAUGGAUGGUAUGGAAGAUUUGGGACUUGUUAGUGAGUCGACCAUGUUCGAUGAUUGUGUGCCUGAUACUCCACCCGAAACAGAAAUCCCAUCUUUGGAUAGUUUGACUCCUUAUGUUCAUCCCUCCCAAUGUACUGAGAAUGGACUUCAAUUCACAUUCCCUGUUAAAACUCUAGAGACCGUGGAAACAAUAGUGUCAACAAACAAGGUUAGUGUGUAUUGUACAGUCGAACCACCUAGAGUUGGUAUGGUUUUUAAAAGGUGGCAGGAUAUUGAGAGUUAUUAUAAGGAGUACGCGGAACAACAUGGCUUUGGUGUUACCAGGCAAUCAGGUUCAUAUACUAAGGAAAAGGAGAGGAGAGCGAUAAAUUAGCGAUGUGAGUGUUGGGGCCCCCCUGAUAUGAGGGCAAGGAGGGAAGCUAGGAAGAGGGAGAAGGCUAUGGAAGUGUGUGGCACCGGUGGCUUAGUUAAUGGUGAGAUUGGAGAAAAUGAGUUGGUUCGCGGGAGGAGGACCUCCAAGAAGUGUGAAUGCCAAGCUAGAAUAUAUGCAAGUCUGACUCCUGAUGGUGAUUGGGUUCAUAAGACAGUUGUGGUUGAUCAUGUUCACAAAUUGGACCCUAGUGGUGCAAAAUUGGUAAAGGAAUACCGCAUGAAAAACUAUACGUCUUCUGUUCAGAAAAAGUUGAUGGACUAUUACGAAGAAGGUGUUUUAGUGAAACAAAUACAUGGUUGCAUGGCUACUGAGUUUGGUGUUGAGGAAAACCUGCCUACUGUUAAGGAUCUUCAAAUGAGGUUUCUAAAUAGAGAAGGUUGAAAAUGGAAGGUGGUGACGCUGCAGCUGUGAUGGCCUAUUUCGACCGUAUGCAAGCUAACAAUCAGAACUUUUACCACGCUCAUCGAUUGGAUGAAGAGGGCCGGCUGAAGGAUGUUUUUUGGGUCGAUGCUAGGAGCCGUGUUGCAUACGAGGAGUUUGGGGACGUCGUAUGCUUUGAUGCUACGUAUCUUACCAAUGAGUAUGAGCUCCCCUUUGCUAACUUCGUGGGGGUAAAUCAUCAUGGACAAUCUUUACUUUUGAGUUGUGCCUUAGUUUCACAUGAAAAUUGCGACACCUUUUUAUGGGUAUUUCAGCAGUGGCUUGCCUGUAUGGGGAAUAAACCGCCUGAUGCAAUCCUGACAGAUCAAGCUCCUGCCAUGAGGAGGCUGCUGCAAUCCGUGAUGCCAUCAACUCGUCACCGGUGGUGUAUUUGGCACUUCCUCAGGAAGAUUCCAGAUAAGUUGGGCAAGUGUGAAAAUAUUUGCAAGUUCUGCAAUGCAGCGAGGUUAUCAAAUUUUUUUUAUGAAGUCUUCCUGUUUUGAACAGGACACCUGCAUUGUAUAUUGCUGUUGAACUGCUGGUGAUAUUGUUUCAUCCUGCUUAUUUAUGUGUUUGCUGAUAUCAUUCAUGUAAUUAAUUAGGUACCCUGCUUUGUACAACUACCAUAGUAUUUUCAUUGAUACUUUUUCUUACUAAUUUUGUAGAAAAUACCUGAGUUUACCCAUACAUAACUUUCAGAUUCUCAUUUGACUAUGCCUUAUUCAGUGUUGGUAUGUGAUGAGUUGGUAUGUGUUGAAUGUUGUGUGAUGACUUGGGGUAUGUUGAAUUAAGGAUGACAAUUUUAUAUGGAUAUCCAGUAAUCCGCUCCACCCGCUCUAAUUAAAUGGACGAAAACCCGACUUAUACGGAUGAAAGGCGGGUGGUGGAUGAAACGGAUGACGGAUCGGGUCGGAUUCGGGUGGAACUUUUAGUCAUCCGUCACCCGUUUAACAUCCACCCGUUUAAUUUUUAUAAUAAAAAAAAUAUAUGCCCUGAAAUUAAAUAAACCCUAAUCUAAAUUUCAAGCAGCCACCUUCUUUCAUUUUCAAUCUCUCUCUACAGUCUACUCUCUCUCUACCUUUCAUUCUUUAGGCUCCACCCUCACCGACGACUCCACCCUCACCGGCGGCGACUCUACCCUCACCGGCGACUCCAUCUCACCUUAGUCACCUACGACGUCCAGCGAUUAAGGUAUAAUAUUAUACCUUUUAUUUUUUAAUUUCCCUAUUUUAAUUUGUUCUUUUGACACACCAUCUAUAAAUCAAUAGUCCAAGAAUCGAUUCUAUGUUUGUGUGUUUCGAUUUAACCAUUUUUUUUUAUUAAAGAUUGUUAGAUUUUUGAUAUGUAUUUAAUUUGUACAUAGUUGCAUUCAAAAUUUUCAAAUAAGUAGUAGCUCUGAAAUUUGUUUUAUUUUUCUUCUAUAUUAACGUUUAUGAUGUUUUCAAUUUUAGAUCUAAAAACUUCAACUUUUAUGCCUAAUUUUAAAUUUGUAUAUCAUUGUAAAUAAUAAAAGAUAAUUAAAAAAAUUGGUGAGAUUAUGCAUGUUGUACUCUUGCUAAAGCUGCUAGUUUGAACUUGAUAUCAAUCCUAUUUUUUAUACUUUUGUUAUAGGAUGAUGGGUGAUAAUAAUGAUCUUGAUUGUGGGUAUGAUAACUAUGAUUCUUCAUGCCCCUCAUCAAAUCCUUCUACUGUACCUACUGCAUCACCUUCUCCACCACCUACAAUACCACCUCCUCCACCUCGUCAACCAAAUACUAAUCCCUCACAAUCUGUACACAUGUCUUCUCAACCCGAUGAAAGUGAGACAUCCACAAGAAAAGCAAGAAAACAGACUUCAAUGCUUUGGGAACAUUUUCAAAAGAUUACAAUAAAUGGUAUGCCAAAAGCAAAGUGUCUCCAUUGUGAUCAUAUCUUGUCGGCAAUAACCAAAAAUGGAACAUCACACCUUAAGGACCACAUAAAUUUAAGGUGUACUAGAAAGAAUUCAAAGAUCGAUAUCCGACAAAAGAUUUUGAGUGUCAACCGCAAAUCUGAUGGGUCAACUAGAGUUGAAAAUGAUAACUUCAGCCAAGAAGUUUCAAGGAGAGAAUUAGCUAACAUGAUAAUUAUGCAUGAGUAUCCAUUGUCUAUAGUGGAUCACAUUGGUUUUAUGAGGUUUGUGACUAGUUUAAAUGCCCAUUUCAAGAUAAUAUCGCGUAAUACAUUACGGGCUUAUAGGCGUCGCUCGAAGUGUGUCUACGUUAAAGCAUGUGGUGAAUAUGCUUGACACUCAUAGGA